ACUCCUACGGGAGGCAGCAGUGGGGAAUAUUGCACAAUGGGCGCAAGCCUGAUGCAGCAACGCCGUGUGAGUGAAGAAGGUUUUCGGAUCGUAAAACUCUGUCCUAAAGGGAAAGAAAAAAUGACGGUACCUUAGGAGGAAGCCCCGGCUAACUACGUGCCAGCAGCCGCGGUAAUACGGUAGGGGGCAAGCGUUAUCCGGAAUCACUGGGCGUAAAGGGUGCGUAGGCGGCUUAGCAAGCCAGGGGUGAAAGGCAUUGGCUCAACCAAUGUAAGCCUUUGGAACUGUUAAGCUUGAGUGCAGGAGAGGUAAGUGGAAUUCCUAGUGUAGAGGUGAAAUUCGUAGAUAUUAGGAGGAACACCAGUGGCGAAGGCGACUUACUGGACUGUAACUGACGCUGAUGCACGAAAGCGUGGGUAGCGAACAGGAUUAGAUACCCUGGUAGGUCAGUC
rnacentral:rRNA from 1 species